AUUGAACGCUGGCGGCAAGCCUAACACAUGCAAGUCGAACGAGUGGCGGACGGGUGAGUAAUGUCUGGGAAACUGCCUGAUGGAGGGGGAUAACUACUGGAAACGGUAGCUAAUACCGCAUACCAUCGGAUGUGCCCAGAUGGGAUUAGCUAGUAGGUGGGGUAAAGGCUCACCUAGGCGACGAUCCCUAGCUGGUCUGAGAGGAUGACCAGACACAAUGGAACUGAGACACGGUCCAGACGCCUACGGGAGGCAGAAGUGGGGAAUAUUGAACAAUGGGAGCAAGCCGGAUGCGGCCAUGCCGGGUGUAUGAAGAAGGCCUUGGGGUUGUAAAGUACUUUCAGCGGGGAGGCGUUGCCCGCAGAAGAAGCACCGGAUACAUCCGUGCCAGCAGCCGCGUAAUUC
rnacentral:rRNA from 1 species